GAGACAGCAGCAGCCACGGGAAUACGAGGGGUCCUAGCGUUGCUCGGAAUCAUUGGGCGUAAAGCGGAUGUAGGCGGACAGCCAAGUCAGAUGUGAAAGCCCCGGGCUCAACCCGGGAAGUGCAUUUGAAACUGGCUACCUUGAGCGCAGUAGAGGAAGGUGGAAUUCCAAGUGUAGUGGUGAAAUACGUAGAUAUUUGGAGGAACAUCGGUGGCGAAGGCGACCUUCUGGACUGUUACUGACGCUGAGAUCCGAAAGCGUGGGGAUCAAACAGGAUUAGAUACCCGGGUAGUCCCUGUCUCUUAUAC
rnacentral:rRNA from 1 species